GUCUCAUCUGAGCCCAGAGCAGCAGGCUAGUUCACUGACACUCACAGACUUGGCAGGAGCAUUUACUCUUUAAAUACAUCGAGGUCAGGAGGUACACUUCAGACAGGGAAACAGGAAAUUACUAGAAGACCUGAACAAGAAUGGCAACUUGAAACUGGAAGAGACAAGGGUACUAGGUGUCUGGAAGCCAACUGAAGUAGAAAGAUUUCUAGAGAAUGUGGGAGAUUACCAUCCAAGCCUUCAGCCUUGGCCUCUAGGUCUCCAGUUUACCGUAAACAACAGGUGAAGACUUUCAGUAACUAGAAAUGAAGCCUCAUUGACUAGCGAUUGAAAAUGUCAGGGGUGCAAUGAAUGCCUGUCUGGUAAUCUGCCCAGUGUGUCUUCUCUGGGAAACCUCUGCUCAUAAACAGGGAUGGGCCCUGGCAGCCAUAUUGGUCCCCUGAAGCUCCCAUCACCUAUGAUUAGGGUUAGGGUUGGGCAGGUGAUUUAGUCCCUGUGGGUGCAGCUCUGGAACAUCAUUUCUCUGACACUGGGACAUAGGAGCCAGGAAAGCUGGUUGUCAGAAUAGAAGAACAGAGCACAGGUGCAGACAGAGCAUCUGCUAUGGAGAAAAAAUUCCACUGAGUUUCUCCUGGCUUUUCGGGUCUGGGAUCUGGGUCUUCCUGAGGGCUAACUUAUUUUUGCCCUUGGGUUCUACUAUACAUCGAAUCUAUCUAUCAGCUUUCUAUUAUCUAUCUAUCAACUAUCUAUUAUCUAUCAACUAUCUAUUAUCUAUCUAUCAUCUAUACUCUGUUGCCCAGGCUGGAAAGCAGUGGCACAAUCUCUGUUCACUGCAGCCUAGAACUCCUGGCCUCAAGCAAUCCUCCCACCUCAGCCUCCUGAGUAGCUAGGACUACAGCUGCGUAUCACCAUACCUGGCUAAUUUUAAAAUUUUUUAAAAGAUGUCUUGCUAUGUUGCUCAGGCUGGUCUUGAUCUCCUGGCCUCAAGUAAUCCUUCCACCUUGGCCUCCAAAAGUGUUGAGAUUAUGGGCAUGGGCUACUGUACGCAGCCUCUUCUAUUUACAUAAUGAAUUUCUGUCCUCUAUUAGGGUGAAGAGAUAGCUUUUCAGUGACUUUGAAGCAUUGUGCCAAAUAUUUCAAACAUCAUAUUUUAAAAUCUUCUUACUUUUUGAUUUAUUUAGUUGCUGCAAAUUUUGACUUAUCUGUCACUAAUCGGCUGGAUGUACUGAGAUACUUUGACAUUUCCUAAUGCUUGGCGCUUUCUCUUUCUGGUCCUCCAUAGUGAGGGCUGGCUGUCUUCCCUUAUAGGUAUCUGCUAACGCUGGAGGCUCAACUGAUAAAGACAGCCAUGCCAAGAAGCAGACAGAAAGGCUGGGGCUAAUAGAACAGAUCUCUACUCCAGGGGCUUUAACUCUGUCCUAGUUCUGGUCAAACAGGAUUAAUACUGCUCACUGUUACUAUCCUAAAAGGAUUGUCAUGGUUAAAAGUGGGCAUUUACUCUUUUCAGUGUCUUUUGUUGCUGGAAUAAAGGAGAUAAUAAUACGAAACAAAAAUCAGCUUGCUUCUCCUCAUAUUUGGCCAGCUCCCAGGCAUUCAGAAUGUCAUUACUAAUUAGACAUUUGUUUUAACAUUCUGGGUCCAUCCAGGCUAGGCAAGCUUGUGAUGUGGGGAAAGUUGACUCGUUAUGCAAUGGUCCCUAUGGCUUUGCAUUAGAUUCCCUGCUCCCUCGCAGGAGCUGAAUGCUCUUCUGUUGUUCUCUGGGUCUAGAACCCUGUCCCUUUUCUCUGGGAUGGCUCCUACUGAUUUUUCAGCUUAUUCCUCAUUUGCUGCAGGACAGUCUCCUUGGCCCCAUAGUACUUUUGAUUUCCCCAUCAUCUGUGCAGUAAUAGGUUCUCUAUAGAUCCACCAGAGUCUUGUCUUAUUCAUUGUUAUAUCCACAGAUCUAACCUAUUCCUAGUAAACAGUAGGUUCUUCCUGGAUGUAUUCCUGAUGGAUUGGCUUAAUGAAUGAAUGCUCAUUUUACUGGUGUCUCUGAAAAAGGAAAAAAAAAA
ensembl:lncRNA